rnacentral:misc_RNA from 1 species
GAAGCUAUUCUCUGUCCAGGAUUUUUUUAGAUACACAGAGUCUGAAGGUAUGUUUGUCGUUUGCCUACACAAUAAUUUCAUUGCUGCUUUAGUAUUUUUUCAUUUGUUUCAUUUGAAAAAUAGAAUAUCCAAAAUGAAACAUGACGAGGGUUCUUACUUUUAGUUAUUGGAGAAUGUAUAAUGUAUAUUCAAUGUUUGAUUGAAAAGUAUACAUAACAACAGCUGCACAAAGCUCUGCAUGUCCGUCUAGUCUUGAAGAAUGCGAUAUGGCUAACUGUAGUGACCAUUUUCCUUCAUUUUGUGGAAAUGCAGAAUUGUUCUCAGAAUAUUUUAUGACCAAAGUGAAAUUGGAGUACUACUAGCUACCUUUAAUGUUUAAUGGCAUGUUGUUCAUGCACCUUUUGUGGGAUUCAAGCCUAAACUCUUGAACACAUUCUUGCAACUCAG